rnacentral:misc_RNA from 1 species
GAAACAAAACUUUAAAUGAUAAAAAGUCAAACUUUGUUUUCCCCUUGUACCUAUUUUUUCUUCAAAGUCCAACCCACUCGGAAGAACAUCUGGCGUAAAUGGUGUGUCUGGCGACGGCGGACUUUUGUCGGGGGUAGCUUAGACACAAAUAAAAGAAAAUUGUGGUUGUGAUCUCCGCUUUGCGGUUCACUGCACGAUUCGAGCUCGAACUGCUUGAAAUAUCUUUUUCGUGUAGUUUGACAAGAGCUGUCAAACACUUCAAAGAAAAAAACACGUUUUAUCAUGCUCGGUCGAAGCAGACGUUUUUUCCGUUUUUUUUUUAUUUUCCGGGAAUUCCUGAAUCUUAUUCCGGUGGCAAAAGAACUUCGGCUUUGCAAAAAGUGGCAAUCAAGUAAAACCUUACGGCGGUGGCAGCAGCCGGAUGUUUACGGCACAUUAAAGGUGCCCAGUUUCUUUGGUUUCCGAACUUUUCAACUGCUGCUGUAGGAUUGUGGAGAACCGAAGAAGAUUCUUGGGCCAUUCCGCCAAAUUGUCGUGUCCUGCUUUGGACCGGAAUUGCCCAGGUUUGAGCCGGGCUCGGUACUACUGUGGAUCAGAUUCCGAUGGAAGUUGCAGAUCAUUCAGUGAAUGGACGUGGCCGAGCAGAGCUUGACCGCGCUGGAAAUUCUGUGAAGAAAUCGCUCCCGCUCGGUGCUCAUCUCGGGAAUCUUCACCAACCUGUUGACCGGUUCGUCCGACACCGUCACGACCGACGUCGAACUCGUGCCGCGAAGUCCUUCGGAGCUGUACGAAAUCACGUGCUUGAUCGGCGGACUAAUGACACGCUUGCCAACGGAUGGCAUUUUGCGGUAGAUUCCCUGCUAGAACGAACCAAAACCAAUGUCCAAGACGCCGUUCAGUGCCAGUGGACGAUCGGGGCGUUUGUCGUCCGUAUUCGUCGAUCUACUCCCGCAUGAUCGAGACCGCUCACCUCAACUCGGACGACGAGAUCAGUUUGAGCACCCUGGGACGCACCUACACGAUCGAUUUCCACUCGAUGCAGCGGAUCAACGGGGACACCGGAACGACGAGGACCGUCCAGCGAAAGAUCAAUCACGCACUGCUCGCGCAACCGCAGGGAACGAUGAUCAUAACCGCAGGCACUCCAACAAGUCUCUCAAUGGCCGCGUCUAUUUAGAGAAACCGGUGAGCCAAGCGCCGACCAGCUCAACUCUGCUCCACUCGCCGACCAACGUAAUGCCAGGAACAUCGGCUUCGUCGUCCGGAAGCCGCAAUCAACCAAAACGCCUUCACCAAAACAGCGCUGCACCACACGAACCAUCAGCGGAUGUCAACCAGCACGCUCCACCUGGUUUCGUUGGCCACGAAAAUGCAAUAGCGGAAGCAACCCACGAUCAUCUCCGGAGCUAUCGCCACGCCUAACAACGGAAACGAUCAGCUGAACGCAAUCUACAAUUCAGCGAUUCCAAGCAAUUAACCGUGUCACCAUCACCACCACACCGCCGCCCGUCAUCAUCAGCCGGAAGCCGGUUCCAGCAAGCGGUCCCGUCUGUACCAGACGCACCCCCACUUGUCGGGCACUUAUGCGUACAACGCCGAGCUGGGCAUUCUGACGUUUCCCCUCUCAAUCGCACGCAUCCCGCACACGAUCUCACAGCCCGGGCCAACUGAAGGUGUUGGACAUACUGAAGCACAAGGUCGCAAUCCCAGAGCAGCAGCAAAUCAAAAUCGCGUCCUGACGAUGCCGCGGGAAGUUUCGCAUCUGCAGCAAUGUCCAGCGAAUCUACAACAGCUGCGGCAUCCGGUUCGUCCACAACCUCCUCCGUCAUGCAGGAACUGAUCAACAAAACGACCACCGGAUGUUGAAACGGUGUGUGCUGCGGAAGCGAGUGCAACAUCCAGUUCGACACUAACACCUUAAUAACUGGCUGUAGAUCCAGUACUUCAACACCCAGUCCAGCCCGUACGUGUACCUCCACGGCAACUGCAAAGUGUUCUAAAAAUAAUCUCUUGCAGCCGGAGAUAGGUCGUGUAUUCCCAUGGUGGUACUAAGGCCCACAAUGCCGUUUUUCCCGACUAGUAUCGCAGGUAACCCUGAUAAAGCAACUUAACAAAAACUUUAACACAAUGCCGGAUCGAGCAGCUACCUGUUCCGAACCGGAAUUCGUCGGUAUUUUGAUCCAUCGGAACCAUCAACCCCAAUGCAGACCUCGAAUGCGCGGACGACGCGUCCGAAGUAAACGCAAUCACGGAACACGACCAGGACUACGUCGAAGACUAAACGUACGGAGACAGGACCAAAUACCUGCGUGUCCCACUGCACAGAUGGCGACGAAUCAUAAUUCUGAAAAAUGAGGGUCUUCGGGCCAGCCGAAACGACUGAUGAACGUGGCCGAUUACGCGCUGGCACCAGGUGAGAGAUUUGGCAGAGGCGAAACGAAAAAGGCCAUCGGAUUAAUCACCGGCUGACGAUGGGUUCGUCGGCCAUUGGAACCGAGAGCGCUGUUCAACAAGAACUUGUAGUCCUAGUUAGUGACCUUGUUCAACCUCAAGUGCAACCAUUUUUAAAACCAGCAAGAUAGAAUUAACAUAUUGUGUUUCAGAAUUUGUAAUUUUAUG